rnacentral:lncRNA from 13 species
GAAAAAUUGACUUUCAUUCUUGAAUCAAGUCUACAGGUAAGAUGUGAAUUUCAGAAUAAGAUUCAGCACAUCUGAGACUCGAGAAUCUGUGAGUCCACUAAGAAGACACAGUCUAGAGGACGAGUUGAAGGUCUCAUGCACAGAUCAAGUCCAUGGCUGAGACUGCAACUCCAGAACAUAGUUCCCACAUAAAGGAGGUGUUAAUUCUCAUACCUGGAACCUCAACAUGUGCAGGAUGGUUCAUCUCAUUCAUGGACCUUCCUGUAGCUGCGAUUGUGACAUACGCCUUAUCUGGCACCUGAGUUUUUUGGCUCUCCUGCCUGGGCUCAGUCCACAGAUUAGAUUGUGACACAUCACUGAACCCAGGAUCUAGGUGAUGUAAAUUUAUUCCUGCCUUGGCGCUCCUCACAGGGCGCACCGUGACAUAUUACUGCACCUAACACAGGGGAACCAUAACCAGGUUGUGUGACUCUCCUGCCUGUGCCUUGCCCACACGGACCACUGUGACAUAUUGCUGGGUCUAACGUAACUCUCUUGCAUAGGUCCUAUCUACAGAAAGUAUUGUAACACAUCUCUGUGCCCAUCACACAGGUGACCUAACUCUCUUUUCCUGGGGGGUAUUGAAAGAGAUGGCUAGCCCCGCAUCUAGCUGAUGUGACUCUUCUCUUCUUACUAGGUUUUGCCCAUGGGGAGAAUUGUAACAUAUCAUUGGGCUCAACACCAAGGUGAUGUUGCUCUUUUGCCUUGGCCCUGCGCUCAAAAAGCACUGAGACGUAUUGCUGGUCCCAACAGCAGACUUGUUCAAAGUGGAGACUGCUACAUAUCGCUUGGCCCAGCUCCUGUACGAUGUGACUUUCCUCUCAUGCCUCAGUGCUCCCCACUGGAGUAAUUUCGACAUAUAGCUUGCCCCUGGCUCUAGUUUAUAUGACUUUUCUCUUGCUCCUUAGCCCUGCUCACCUGGGGACAUUAUAACAUAUCUGAGCCCAUCACCUAAGUAAUGUGACUCUGUUGCCUGAUCUCCUCCUCAGGGUGUAUUGUUAUAUGUUGUCAGACCCAGCAACUAAGUGAUAUGACUCUUCUCUGCUGCUUGGGUUCUGUCCAAUAAAAGAUUGUGAUGUGUCA